UACGUAGGGUGCAAGCGUUAAUCGGAAUUACUGGGCGUAAAGCGUGCGCAGGCGGUGAUGUAAGACAGAUGUGAAAUCCCCGGGCUCAACCUGGGAACUGCAUUUGUGACUGCAUGGCUGGAGUGCGGCAGAGGGGGAUGGAAUUCCGCGUGUAGCAGUGAAAUGCGUAGAUAUGCGGAGGAACACCGAUGGCGAAGGCAAUCCCCUGGGCCUGCACUGACGCUCAUGCACGAAAGCUAGGGGAGCAAACAGG
rnacentral:rRNA from 1 species